rnacentral:pre_miRNA from 14 species
UUACCGGCGGUCUCGGAUUCGCUUGGUGCAGGUCGGGAACUGAUUGGCUGACACCGACACGUGUCUUGUCAUGGUUGGUUUGUGAGCUCCCGUCUUGUAUCAACUGAAUCGGAGUCCGAGGUGAAA